rnacentral:rRNA from 1 species
CGGAGGGUGCAAGCGUUAAUCGGAAUUACUGGGCGUAAAGGGUUCGUAGGUGGUUUAUUAAGUUAUUUGUAAAAUCCCUGGGCUUAACCUGGGCAGGUCAGAUAAUACUGGUAGACUCGAGUAUGGGAGAGGGUAGUGGAAUUUCCGGUGUAGCGGCGAAAUGCGUAGAGAUCGGAAGGAACACCAGUGGCGAAGGCGGCUACCUGGCCUAAUACUGACACUGAGGAACGAAAGCGUGGGGAGCAAACAGGAUUAGAUACCCUGGUAGUCCACGCCGUAAACGAUGUCAACUAGCUGUUGGUCAUAUUGAUAUGAUUAGUGGCGCAGCAAACGCGAUAAGUUGACCGCCUGGGGAGUACGGUCGCAAGAUUA